GUAAAAAGUAGAAUAAUAGAUUUGAAAUAUUUAUUAUAUAGAUUUAAAGAGAUAAUCAUGGAGUAUAAUAAUUAAAUUUAAUAAAUUUAAUAUAACUAUUAAUAGAAUUAGGUUACUAAUAAAUUAAUAACAAUUAAUUUUAAAACCUAAAGGUAAACCUUUAUAUUAAUAAUGUUAUUUUUUAUUAUUUUUAUAAUAAGAAUAAUUAUUAAUAAUAAUAAACUAAGUGAACUGAAACAUCUAAGUAACUUAAGGAUAAGAAAUCAACAGAGAUAUUAUGAGUAUUGGUGAGAGAAAAUAAUAAAGGUCUAAUAAGUAUUAUGUGAAAAAAAUGUAAGAAAAUAGGAUAACAAAUUCUAAGACUAAAUACUAUUAAUAAGUAUAGUAAGUACCGUAAGGGAAAGUAUGAAAAUGAUUAUUUUAUAAGCAAUCAUGAAUAUAUUAUAUUAUAUUAAUGAUGUACCUUUUGUAUAAUGGGUCAGCAAGUAAUUAAUAUUAGUAAAACAAUAAGUUAUAAAUAAAUAGAAUAAUAUAUAUAUAUAAAAAAAUAUAUUAAAAUAUUUAAUUAAUAUUAAUUGACCCGAAAGCAAACGAUCUAACUAUGAUAAGAUGGAUAAACGAUCGAACAGGUUGAUGUUGCAAUAUCAUCUGAUUAAUUGUGGUUAGUAGUGAAAGACAAAUCUGGUUUGCAGAUAGCUGGUUUUCUAUGAAAUAUAUGUAAGUAUAGCCUUUAUAAAUAAUAAUUAUUAUAUAAUAUUAUAUAAAUAUUAUAUAAAGAAUGGUACAGCAAUUAAUAUAUAUUAGGGAACUAUUAAAGUUUUAUUAAUAAUAUUAAAUCUCGAAAUAUUUAAUUAUAUAUAAUAAAGAGUCAGAUUAUGUGCGAUAAGGUAAAUAAUCUAAAGGGAAACAGCCCAGAUUAAGAUAUAAAGUUCCUAAUAAAUAAUAAGUGAAAUAAAUAUUAAAAUAUUAUAAUAUAAUCAGUUAAUGGGUUUGACAAUAACCAUUUUUUAAUGAACAUGUAACAAUGCACUGAUUUAUAAUAAAUAAAAAAAAUAAUAUUUAAAAUCAAAUAUAUAUAUAUUUGUUAAUAGAUAAUAUACGGAUCUUAAUAAUAAGAAUUAUUUAAUUCCUAAUAUGGAAUAUUAUAUUUUUAUAAUAAUAAUAAAAAUAUAAAUACUGAAUAUCUAAAUAUUAUUAUUACUUUUUUUAAUAAUAAUAAUAUGGUAAUAGAACAUUUAAUGAUAAUAUAUAUUAGUUAUUAAUUAAUAUAUGUAUUAAUUAAAUAGAGAAUGCUGACAUGAGUAACGAAAAAAAGGUAUAAACCUUUUCACCUAAAACAUAAGGUUUAACUAUAAAAGUACGGCCCCUAAUUAAAUUAUAUAAGAAUAUAAAUAUAUUUAAGAUGGGAUAAUCUAUAUUAAUAAAAAUUUAUCUUAAAAUAUAUAUAUUAUUAAUAAUUAUAUUAAUUAAUUAAUAAUAUAUAUAAUUAUAUUAUAUAUUAUAUUUUUAUAUAUAAUAUAUAUAAUAUAAACUAAUAAAGAUCAGGAAAUAAUUAAUGUAUACCGUAAUGUAGACCGACUCAGGUAUGUAAGUAGAGAAUAUGAAGGUGAAUUAGAUAAUUAAAGGGAAGGAACUCGGCAAAGAUAGCUCAUAAGUUAGUCAAUAAAGAGUAAUAAGAACAAAGUUGUACAACUGUUUACUAAAAACACCGCACUUUGCAGAAACGAUAAGUUUAAGUAUAAGGUGUGAACUCUGCUCCAUGCUUAAUAUAUAAAUAAAAUUAUUUAACGAUAAUUUUAUUAAAUUUAGGUAAAUAGCAGCCUUAUUAUGAGGGUUAUAAUGUAGCGAAAUUCCUUGGCCUAUAAUUGAGGUCCCGCAUGAAUGACGUAAUGAUACAACAACUGUCUCCCCUUUAAGCUAAGUGAAAUUGAAAUCGUAGUGAAGAUGCUAUGUACCUUCAGCAAGACGGAAAGACCCUAUGCAGCUUUACUGUAAUUAGAUAGAUCGAAUUAUUGUUUAUUAUAUUCAGCAUAUUAAGUAAUCCUAUUAUUAGGUAAUCGUUUAGAUAUUAAUGAGAUACUUAUUAUAAUAUAAUGAUAAUUCUAAUCUUAUAAAUAAUUAUUAUUAUUAUUAUUAUUAAUAAUAAUAAUAUGCUUUCAAGCAUAGUGAUAAAACAUAUUUAUAUGAUAAUCACUUUACUUAAUAGAUAUAAUUCUUAAGUAAUAUAUAAUAUAUAUUAUAUAUAUAUUAUAUAUAAUAUAAGAGACAAUCUCUAAUUGGUAGUUUUGAUGGGGCGUCAUUAUCAGCAAAAGUAUCUGAAUAAGUCCAUAAAUAAAUAUAUAAAAUUAUUGAAUAAAAAAAUAAUAUAUAUUAUAUAUAUUAAUUAUAAAUUGAAAUAUGUUUAUAUAAAUUUAUAUUUAUUGAAUAUAUUUUAGUAAUAGAUAAAAAUAUGUACAGUAAAAUUGUAAGGAAAACAAUAAUAACUUUCUCCUCUCUCGGUGGGGGUUCACACCUAUUUUUAAUAGGUGUGAACCCCUCUUCGGGGUUCCGGUUCCCUUUCGGGUCCCGGAACUUAAAUAAAAAUGGAAAGAAUUAAAUUAAUAUAAUGGUAUAACUGUGCGAUAAUUGUAACACAAACGAGUGAAACAAGUACGUAAGUAUGGCAUAAUGAACAAAUAACACUGAUUGUAAAGGUUAUUGAUAACGAAUAAAAGUUACGCUAGGGAUAACAGGGUAAUAUAGCGAAAGAGUAGAUAUUGUAAGCUAUGUUUGCCACCUCGAUGUCGACUCAACAUUUCCUCUUGGUUGUAAAAGCUAAGAAGGGUUUGACUGUUCGUCAAUUAAAAUGUUACGUGAGUUGGGUUAAAUACGAUGUGAAUCAGUAUGGUUCCUAUCUGCUGAAGGAAAUAUUAUCAAAUUAAAUCUCAUUAUUAGUACGCAAGGACCAUAAUGAAUCAACCCAUGGUGUAUCUAUUGAUAAUAAUAUAAUAUAUUUAAUAAAAAUAAUACUUUAUUAAUAUAUUAUCUAUAUUAGUUUAUAUUUUAAUUAUAUAUUAUCAUAGUAGAUAAGCUAAGUUGAUAAUAAAUAAAUAUUGAAUACAUAUUAAAUAUGAAGUUGUUUUAAUAAGAUAAUUAAUCUGAUAAUUUUAUACUAAAAUUAAUAAUUAUAGGUUUUAUAUAUUAUUUAUAAAUAUAAUAUAAUAAUUAUUAUUAUUAAUAAAAAAAAUAUUAAUUAUAAUAUUAAUAAAAUACUAAUUUAUCAGUUAUCUAUAUAAUAUCUAAUCUAUUAUUCUAUAUACU
rnacentral:rRNA from 1 species